GAUAAACGCUGGCGGCGCACAUAAGACAUGCAAGUUGAACGGACUUAAUCGAAAUAUUUAUAUUUUGAAGCGGUUAGUGGCGGACUGGUGAGUAACGCGUAAGGAACCUGCCUAUUAGAGGGGAAUAACAGUGAGAAAUCAUUGCUAAUACCGCAUAUGCCAUAGAUAUCACAUGAUAACAGUGGGAAAGGAGCAAUCCGCUAAUAGAUGGCCUUGCGUCUGAUUAGAUAGUUGGUGGGGUAACGGCCUACCAAGUCGACGAUCAGUAGCCGGACUGAGAGGUUGAACGGCCACAUGGGGACUGAGAUACGGCCCGGACUCCUACGGGAGGCAGCAGUCGGGAAUAUUGCGCAAUGGAGGAAACUCUGACGCAGUGACGCCGCGUAGAGGAAGAAGGUUUUCGGAUUGUAAACUAUUGUCGUUAGGGAAGAGAAAGGACAGUACCUAAGGAGGAAGCUCCGGCUAACUACGUG
rnacentral:rRNA from 1 species